rnacentral:rRNA from 1 species
UACGUAGGGUGCAAGCGUUAAUCGGAAUUACUGGGCGUAAAGCGUGCGCAGGCGGUUAUGCAAGACAGAUGUGAAAUCCCCGGGCUCAACCUGGGAACUGCAUUUGUGACUGCAUAGCUAGAGUACGGUAGAGGGGGAUGGAAUUUCGCGUGUAGCAGUGAAAUGCGUAGAUAUGCGGAGGAACACCGAUGGCGAAGGCAAUCCCCUGGACCUGUACUGACGCUCAUGCACGAAAGCGUGGGGAGCAAACAGG